rnacentral:misc_RNA from 1 species
UCCGGGUUGGUCCCGGCGGUCCCGCCAGACUUCGUAACUGGCAACUAGAGACGGGGGUUGCGCUCGUUGCGGGACUUAACCCAACACCUCACGGCACGAGCUGACGACAACCAUGCACCACCUGUACAGGACCCUUACGGACCCCCCAUCUCUGGAGGAUUUCCCUGUAUGUCAAGCCUUGGUAAGGUUCUUCGCGUUGCGUCGAAUUAAGCCACAUGCUCCGCCGCUUGUGCGGGCCCCCGUCAAUUCCUUUGAGUUUUAGUCUUGCGACCGUACUCCCCAGGCGGAGUGCUUAAUGCGUUAGCUGCGGCACAGAGCGGGUUGAAGACCGCCCCACACCUAGCACUCAACGUUUACGGCUGGGACUAC